GGAUCUUGGAUUCAUUUUCGUGUUCAGCAGGUUCUCUAGGUCCAGUAUGUUGAAUUUGAUAAUUGGGAAUUGAUUAGAAAAAUCAUGGCCAGCCAAAGUGUCCCCCCUGUCAUGCCUAUGAUGAAAAUAACAAAUGUUGGAGUGGGGGGAGUCUCCAGAAAUCACAAACUCUGUUCGCAACAAUCCCAGCACAUAACAUGCUUCUUCGCCACCUCACAGUAGCCUAUUAAUCCUCCAGGACUAAUUUCAAACUUCUGGCCAAGGGCUUUUGCAUGAACUAUUGCCAAUCGAUGAGUCGUGGGCAUUCGACUUUUAAUAAUAAAAUCGGAUAAACAGGCAGCUGUGCGUACAAUAGACAGGGAGUGGCGAACUCCAUGAAUGACGAACACUUACAUUUAAUCGUCCCUGUAUCGCCAGGAAGUCCAGCCUACCAGUUCCUGUCCCCCAGCUAGAAGCACUGCACAUCUUUUAUUUUUUGAAUGGCUCGACCUCUCUCAUUCAUUGUUCAAUAACUUUGAACAACAUCCGAAACCGAGCAGAGGCACGCGCCUAUUGUGUGACCCAACGGGAGGUGAGGUAGCUGCAAGAAAUACAGGUGGAAUUUGAAAUUGAAAGAACGUAUAAUAGACCAAGGGGUGCUUUUGUACAACAUUUAAACGAUACCUACCGGGCGUUACAGGUUGCUACCAUUGUUACACUGUACUUCCCGACUAUGUAUAAACGUCCUGGCUGUUUCGAAUUAUCUUUUGCGUCACUUGCAUUAAAAUUAAAAUGUAA